rnacentral:lncRNA from 1 species
GAUAUAUCAGUUUGGAAAAUGAUUAGAUGUGCUUUGCCUGAUAAUGAUGUUGGAUACACUAUUAUUACAACCACCCGUAUUUCUCAUGUUGCUGAACAAGCUGGGGGUGCUUACAACAUGAAACCUCUUUCUUUGAAUAACUCCCGAAAACUACUAUAUAGAAGAAUAUUUGGUAGUGGGAAUAAAGACAACAAUGAAACAGAAGAAAAAUGUCAUAAGGAGAUGGCCGAAGUAUCUGACAGAAUACUGAAAAAAUGUGCUGGUGUGCCAUUGGCUAUAAUUACGAUGGCUAGUUUACUAGCUUGCAAAGCAAGAAAUAAAAUGGAGUGGUAUGAGGUGUACAAUUCUGUUGGUACUGGUCUGGAAAACAAUCUAGAUGUGGAGAAUAUGAGAAAGAUUUUAUCAUUUAGCUAUUAUGAGCUACCAUGCUAUUUAAGGGCUUGUUUGUUAUAUUUGAGCAUGUUUCCUGAAGAUUAUGAAAUUGGGAAGGAUCGUUUGAUAAGGAUGUGGAUAGGUGAAGGUUUUAUCCAAUGUGAAAAAGUAGGGAAGAGCCUAUUUGAACUCGGAGAGAGUUAUUUUAAUGAGCUUAUAAACAGAAGCAUGAUCCAACCAAUAUAUGAUAGUAAAAAUGAUAUGAUAUCAAGCUGUCGUGUACAUGAUAUGGUGCUUGAUCUUAUCCGCUCCUUGUCAAGUGAAGAAAACUUUGUUACUAUACUAAGUAAUAUGGGAGGCACAUCUCCAUCAAAUACGAUUCGGAGGUUGUCCCUUCAGAAUGGUCAGGAAAGUCAUGUGAUGGCUCAAGCUACAUGGAGCUUGCAACAUACAAGGUCAGUUUUUGUCUUUCCAACUUCUAUUUCUCCAGUGCUACCUCUUGACUACUGCCGAGUUUUACGUGUUCUGGAUUUAGAAGGCUGCAAUCUUUCACAAGCUAAUAGUAUCCUUAAGUGCCUUGGGAAUAUACAUCACUUGAGGUACUUGGGACUUCGUCGGACAGGUAUUUCUCAGCUCCCAGAAGAAAUAGGAAACCUGCAGUUUCUACAAAUAUUGGAUGUAAGGCGCAACAAUAUUUUCAGGUUGGCUUCGAGAGUUGUCCAGCUAAGAAAGUUGAUGUACCUAUACAUUGACCGGUCUACAACAGUUCCAAACGGAAUUGGAAAUCUGACAUGCCUUGAACAGCUGUCAUGGUUACGCAUUAAUGACUCCACUAGAAACAUUAUACAAGAGUUGGGCCAGCUAACUGAACUGAGGCAGUUGUCCAUUGAAUUGGACAAGUGGAACGACAAGCUGUUGGAGUGCCUAUGCAAGCUACAAAAGAUGCAGGAACUAGUUAUCACGGUCCGUCAUGGUCAACGCAGCAUCGGCAGAUUGGAUGCUUGGGUCGCCCCUCGACAUCUCCGCGUAUUUCAAUCACCAGACAACUGUUGGUUUUCAACACUGCCAGCUUGGGUGAAUCCAUCGCUUCUUCCGGACCUGACCUUCCUAUCCAUCGACGUGAGGGAGCUACAUCAGGUUGAUCUCGAAAUCCUCGGGAGGUUGCCAGCUCUCCGCUUUCUUUCUCUGAAGAUGGACAACAAGAACCUUGGUAUCCUUGCAGGAUUCGUUGUUGGUGCUGGUGCAUUCCCGUGCCUUGUAACCUGUUACUUCUGUCAAUUUGUGUGGCCAGUGGUAUUUCAACAGGGAGCUAUGCCAAGGGUCAGAGAGCUUGUGAUCUGGCGGUUUUAUCUGCGGGAGGCAAGAGGAAUUGCCUGCACCGAUGGUAGUCUCGACUUGGGCAUGGGAAACCUGCCGUCGCUGCAAUAUGUCAAGGCUGACCUGCGAUGUGAUGGUGCUGGCAAGGAGGAGGCAGAGCAAGCCAAGGCUGCGCUGACGCAUGCAGCUCAAAUGCAUCCCAAUCAUCCCUUACAUUUGAUCCAUAUUACAGGUGCGCCAGCUCCUGAUUGUUAUUCCUUACUUCUCUCCUUCCCCUUUCUUCUAAACUGUAUUUGCGUUUAUUCCUCUGUUUGAGAUGGUCGAUCUCCAGCUGAUCUUUCACCACGCCUUUCUUCUAGCCCCUAUGCCUCAACUCUUCUAAUCUUCCUUUGGUAUAUUUCGGUCUGAUAUACAGAUCACGACUACUAUAAGACACUAUGCCGGAAGCUGGACCGGAGCAGAGCAGAUGUUUCGCCACGCAUGCAGAGGUUAAACUGCUCGGCCUUAGCUUUACCAGACACCCUCAACCUGCGAGUAAACAAUGAAUACUGCACACAUGCGUCUGUGACUUAGAGCUUUGAUCAUUUGUGCUGUAAUCCCUGACUAACUUCCCCCUCUGUUACAACUUACAAGAACUGUAAAGAAAAAAUAGAAACGCAGUUAACAUCACAUACAAUGAAUCACAUCCCAUCAACAGAUAUUUGUCUAAGCUUCUCUUCAUCUCCACUACGGCAUUGCACCCCGCAGCCUUCUACACACGACGUCUAUGUUUUUUGUCGUGUGAUUCUAUAAUGGAUGAAGAACUGGUUACAGGUGAUCCUCGGAAGGUCACUUGACCUUUUCCUUAAGGCCCGUCGAAUGAAUUUGUCCGCGUGCUCCCUCGACCACGCGUCCACGUCCAUCCCGGCCGGCGAUCACCAGUCAUAAUAAGCUGAUUAGGCUGAUAGCUAUAUGAUUGAAGCAGCGGCAGCACAAACUCGGGUGUGGGACGGACUCUGUUAUCGAGCGUCAAGCAUCAUCGUUUACAUGUUGUUCAGAAUUCAGUCAUAUGGUUCAGUUCACUUCUUGGUUGUCAGGUAUUUCAGGGAGCCAAAAGCUGACUAGACUCACUGAUGAAACAUGCAUGCAUAGUGCCAUUGGUUCACUGAUAGAGAACUCACCUUCCAUGCGCUCCCUUUUAUCCCGGUUUAAAGUUGAUCCGGGACAAAGGGGGACGCCAUGGUAGGUUCAAAUGGGGCGGAGCUUUAGUUCCGGUUGGUAUUUUCAACCAGGACUAAAGCUCCCCUUUCCUUUAGUCCCGGUUGUAACGGCUAGUUACCAACCACCGAUGGCGCCCCCCUUUUAUCCUAGUUGGCUUCCAACCGGGACAAAAGUGCCACCCUUUUGUCCCGGUUGGAGUUACCAACCGGAACAUUCCAACGGGGAUAAAAGGGUGAAGCUUUUAUCCCGGUUGGAAGCUCCAACCGAGAUAAAAACUCAUCCCCUAUAAAAUCGCAAGACAGAGACCUUUCUUCCUCCUCCAUCCCGAGCCACUCCACUCCACAAAGACAAAGGGCUCAUCCUGUCCAUGGCGCCGAAGCAAGCCUAGGGGAGGUGCUGCCGAAUUUUUCUCGAAGCAAUGGAUGUAUAACGUGGACAGAUGGAGCAUGAAGUUUGUUGAUGGCUUGCAUUAUUUUCUCGAAGUGGUCAAAACGAACAAGCCAGAGAACGGGUUCAUAUGUUUUCCAUGCUUCCAAUGUAGUAACAAGGACUUUUACAUGCACUUGUUUAGAUACAGUUUCAUGCCUAACUAUUUGGUUUGGACCAAGCAUGGCGAAAGAAGGGUUGUAAUUGAAGAUGACAUUCCAGACUGGGCUGCAGGCCAAACUUUUGCAGAUACUACAAUAGGCGAGGUUGAUGAAGAUAAGUUUGCAGAAGACGGCCCUACUGAUGUCACACCAGAUUUUAAGGACAAAGUUAAGUGCAUUAAAUACAUGUGCGCCAGGAUCAAGUUACACACAUAUACGACAUAAGUGAAUAACAAAGACAGUGCCAUAACGAAAUAAAGAGAGUAUUAACCAUUAUUACAUGAUAAGUUACACACAUAUACGACAUAAGUGAAUAACAAAGACAGUGCCAUAACGAAAUAAAGAGAGUAUUAACCAUUAUUACAUGAUCGAAAGUCUCAAAUAAACUACAAAGUUUAAUUAUUACGCAGCGGAAGUCCAAAAGUAGCGACGGCUCCACAGGCAGCUGACUGAAGAACUAUACGCCUAGAACUCCUCGAAGUCUGGAAACUCCUCCAGAUUCACUUGGUCUGAACAGUGGUUUUGCAACGGUGAGUACACUUAUGGUUGGUAGUCAACAAGUCGUGGAGAACAGUGUAGUGUAAGGCUACCCAAGGUAUGUCUAAGGCAUAAUCAGCAUUAGCUUUUAAAUUAGUUGGUCAAGUUUUAGUAGCAUUUAACUAAGUGUAAGUUUAUACCACCCAAAAUGAAACAAGAACAUGAAUAAAAUAAUAACAUAACCAUAAAUGAAACAACAACAAUUUAAGUCCAUCAUUCGAUAAUAUUAUCAUGUGAGGGUUCAAGCCGCUCUUAACUAUGAGCACGGCUGAUCGAUCAGUUUUACACUCUGCAGAUGUUGCACAACUUUACCCACCUGUCGUGUAAAAGUUAAAAAGAACUUUGGACACAACCAUGCGGUGUCUGCAAGGCACCAUACCACACUUCCGAGGUGUGAUUGCAUAGGGACGCUACGAGGCCUUUACAAAGAUUCGCUAAUAAAAAGUAGCCCGCUAAGAUUUCCCCCCUAAUUUGCAACUGAAUUGCCUACCACUAUUAUUUAAAAAACUUAAAGUAACCCCUUAAUUUUGCAUCUAUAUUACCCACACAUGCCAUUAUUAAAAAUAACAUAAGGUAACCCUAUGUUUGAAUCAAAUAACCUUAAUUAAAAUAUACAGUAAUAUAUGAUUCUAAAUCAUCUAUAUCUUGCACUAUUGGUAUACGAUAUAAUAAUUAAGGUCUAUACACAUGAUGUGUGUCACCAUUUAUAAGGAUAUAUAAAGUGAUGAGAGUAUAGAUUUCUAUGCUAAAAUUGUAUCUCAAACUUAGGGUUCAUUAAACAAAUUUAAGCGCAUACCUGCGAUGCAAAGUGAAAAGUUAAAUAUUAUAAAUGUGGAUAAAAAUAUUAUAGAGUAAUUACUAACUAAAAUCUAUCACAAUUGGAUGAAGAUAUUAAGUAUAUAUCUCCAUAAGUAUUGUGUUCUAAUAUUUAACAAACGAGACAUAGCUUAUGGUAAUAGUUUUGUAGCAAUGUAGUCUCAUUUUUUUUCCAUUAGAGACUCUGCAUUAGUUCCCACAACACAAGCUAUAAAAAAGAGACAAAUUCUCAUAAAAAUUAAAAACAUCAAACACUAAUCAUUUAAACUCUAAUAAUCAUAGCCAUUGAUGUAUUAUAUUUUUUAAAAAGUUACCCACCACUGUCAUUGUGAAAAUAUUUAAAAAUAAGCUCUAAACCUAUUUUUAAUUUACCAAGCUUAGCUAUUAUAAAAAAUAAUUUAAAUAACCCCAUAAUCUUCAUCCAAUUUACUAAUACACAUCAUUAUAAAGAAUAACUUAAAAUGUCAUUCUAAAAUUUUAUCUAUGUUACCCGUGUAUGUCGUUAUUAAAAAUAACCUCAAGUAAACACCUAAAUCUUAAUCUAAUUAUCUUCAUGUGCAUCAUACAGAAAUAUCGAAAAGUAAACUAAUAUAUGAUUCUAAAUUAUCUAUUUAUGUCAUUGCAAUAUAAAAUACUAAGUUAAAGUAUAUACACAUGAUGAGUGCCACCGUUUAGACCAUUUAUACAUGUAUGUGAGGAAUCAAUAAAAAAUAUUGAUUUGUAUGCUAAACAUAAUGUAUGGAGGAUUGGAGGUGAGAUACAAAAUGGAAAAUGUAUGAAUAUGGAUGAAAAAAUCAAUCAGAACUGGACAAAGAUAGUUACAUAUCUAUAUAAGUAUUAUGUUGAAGUAUUAAAAAUAAGAGAGUAGUAGGUAAACAAUUUUGAUUAUUAGCUAGGAAUUUAAUUUCUAAAUAAUUUUCAAAUACAAUAGCUUCUAAAAAUAUUAGCCCGUACGGGAGCAUGGGUUGAUGGACUAGUAAUUUCUAAUAGCUAGGGUAAAAUACCAAAACACAAAAAAAUGAAAUUGUUUUCAAGAUUGGUCGACUUUUCUGUGAAUCAUUAUAUUACACGUGCCAUGUGUUUCUUCUCAGCGUGGUCUCAUGAUUUUCGACAAGCUAAACCUUACAGGUGGUCUUUUCUUAUUUCGUGUCAUAAAAAAGAAAAUAAAGAUAACGCAAGAAAAUGGAAUUAAUUCCAAGAUCGGUUGAAUUUUGUGUGAAUCAUUUACAUGCACAGAUGUGCCAUGCGUUUCUUCUUCUCAGUAACAUGGUGAUCUUCUGAUCGCUGGAGGGAUUCCUUGCUGCGUGUACACACAACACAAGACCACCAGUUCACGCAGUCACCAUUGCCAUUAGCUUGGUUCACCAGUUCACGCAUGCGCGCAACUGAUGGUGCAGGAUGACCAAGGAGGCAUGGUUUACUAGUUGCUGGGUCUUUCUUUGGGAUUUCAAACUUCAAACUACUUUUUCUCCCAAAUCAAAAAUUUAUUUUUGAAUCCGUUUGUAACACCCAAAAUUUUAGAGAAUUCAAAUUCAUUAAAACUUGCUCAAAAUAGGGUGUCAUUUAAAUUCUAGGCAUUUAAUUUCAUUUUCUUUAAUUUAAUUAAUUCAUCGUAGGAGUUAUUUGGGUGUGACACAAGGCUAUUAUAUAUACUCCCAAAGUCUUGGAUGUCACUGAGUAACAUGUAUUUCUCUUGCAAGCAGCUGUGCACAUUAGCCAGAGAACUCUGAAGUGUUGGAGGAAACCAAAUUACUAUGAUGAGUCUUGACUUGUGUAGCCAAAUGCAUCCGCCGUAACUCGGCAAGCUUGAUGGCCAUCUUCCGCCCGUUUAAAUCAUUUUUUCGCAAUUAUCUACUCUCAGCAGAGUAAACAAACCUGUUUAGCCCACAAACACUUCUACAUACGAUGGUACGUGUCAUUAUGGCGGGUGCCUUUUAUUGUAUCUAAAGUUGCAUUAAACAACGGCACCAAGCCCAUGGUAUCUAAUUGGUGCCGGCGGGUAUGAUGGAUUUCUGGUCUCACGGCUUGACGAAUAAACUGGAGGAGAAACCCGCCAUUAAGCAUUUACUCCUGCUUGUAUGGUUUGGUUAAGUUUUAGAUGCCGGUUCUUACGGAUAGGAGGGAUUCAUACUCACAUUCCUGAGGUGCUCUGAUAUCUUCAUAGGAUAAUGUUAAAUGUUACAACAUUGCAUCGAAAAUGAAGAUUUGAUGAGCGCAAGUAUGGAUGCACAUUUUCUUUUUAGAAACUAAGCAUUGCAUGUGGCGUUUUCUUGUUUCCUGUCAUAAAAAAGAAAAUAAAAAUAACAAGACAAAUUGAAAUUAAUUUCAAGAACAUUCGAAUUUUGCGUGAAUCAUCAUGUUUCACGGUCCAUGUGCUCGCAUGAUUUUUACGUGAAUUGGCAGCAUAAUUUCUAUAUAAUAGCUAGGGUAAAAUACCAAAACACGGAAAAAUGAAAUUGAUUUCAAGAUUAGUCAACUUUUCUGUGAAUCAUUAUAUUACACGUGCCAUGUGUUUCUUCGCAGCGUGGUCUCAUGAUUUUCGACAAGCUAAACCUUACAUGUGGUCUUUUCUGAUAUCGUCUCAUGAUCUAUUUUCCAUUCCGGCGGUCUGUGUGCACGGACUUCGCUGGAAGAGCAGGCCUCCGAAGCUGCGUCCUUCACCAGAGACUCUACACCCGAGGAGUAGAAGGCCGAUCAAGUUUUUAGGGAGCGCGUCUGUGUCACUGCUCAUCGUUCGUCUACGACUACUUCCUAGAGGUACAAUUGCACUGCAAACAUCUGCACGGCAUCGAGUUCUGAUCGACUACAUCGAAUAAGCUCAACUAGCAAUGUUGGGUAAUGGCGCAUCUGGUUCCUCAGGAACUGGCUCCGCCUCAGGGUACUUCCUUAUGAACUUCUUGGUUUAAUUCUUACAGUUCAUAGUAUCCAUUGCAUGCUUUAUGUUCACUGCAAAUAAAAUAGUAUGCUAUCUUUAUUGUCAUGUUUCAUUUUAUAUUCGGAUUAAACUGAACCGCAAAUUGUCUCUAAUUCCAACAUUGGCAGCAUAAUUUCUAAUAACUAGGGUAAAAUACCAAAACACGAAAAAAUGAAAUUGAUUUGAAGAUUUGUUACUUUUCUGUGAAUCAAUUACACGUGCCAUGUGUUUCUUCUCAGCGUGGUCUCAUGAUUUUCAAAAAGCUAAACCUUACAGGUGGUCUUUUCUUAUUUCGUGUCUAAAAAAGAAAAUAAAGAUAACCCAAGAAAAUGGAAUUAAUUCCAAGAUCGGUUGACUUUUGUGUGAAUCAUUUACAUGCACAGAUGUGCCAUGCAUGCGUUUCUUCUUCUCAGUAACAUGGUGAUCUUAUGAUCGCUGGAGGCACUACCGGAAACAGUAAGGUUGCCGAGUGUCUGAGGCACUCGGCAAAGGCCGAAAAACUCUCGGCAAAGAGUUCGCCGAGUGUAACACUCGGCGAACGGCACUUGGCGAACUUUCCUACGGCAAACGUGGAGUUGCCGAGUGUCGAACAUCGAGCACUCGGCAAAUAAUUUGCCGAGUGUCAAAAAGCACUCGGCAAACAUUUUCGGAAAAAAAAAAACCGCCGGCCGUCGGCCGCCGGCCACGGCCACGGCCACCACGCCGCCACCGGCUGCCUACGCCGCUGCCGCCCGCCCGCCGCCGCCCGCCCGCCGCCGCCCGCCCGCCGCCGCCCGCCGCCACGCGCCAGAUCCGGAGGGGAGAGAGGUGGGGGCCGCCGGAUCCGCGCCGGAGGGGAAGAAGGGGGCGCGGAUCCGGCCGGUGGGGAGUGAGCCGAGGAAGGAGAGGCCGGAUCCGGAGGGGAAGAAGGGGGCGGCGGCGGGCGGGGGCGGGGGCGGGGGCGGACGCCGGGCGGCGGUGGGGCCGGGGGCCGGGCACCGGGCGGCGGGGCGGGGGGCGCCGGGCGGCGGGCCGGGGAGCGCCGGGGGCGGGGGGAGAGAGCAAGAUCUGAGGAGGAGAUAGUGGCGGAAGAGAUAAGGCCGGUGCGGUGCGGGCCGGGAUAAGGCCGGCUUGCGGUUGGAAAAAAAAAACGGUCGCCGAGUGUCCUAGGGUGACACUAGGUGAACGGUUGUUUGCCGAGUGUCUACCCUAGGACACUCGGCAAAGAUAUUUUAAAAAAAAUUUAAAAAAUAUCUAACAGUUUUAAAAAAUUGUCAAAAAUUUACAUGAAAUAAUAUAUAUUCUCUAUUAACUAUACAAAAAGUUUUGUAGUCAAAUCAAAACUCAACCGUCAUUUUGACUCCAAAUCUUAUGCAAUCCUUGUCAACGUUACUAUUCUUCUUCUGAAAUGCUUCGGUUUGUAAACAUCGUACGUAAUGAAAUAUGCAAAACAUUCUCAAUUUUUUUUCCACAGCCUCCACCUAUGAUAUUAUCACAUCAUGACAAAUCUCAUGAUUUUCAGACUUUGCUUGUUUUUUUAUAAUUUAAAAAUACCACUGCCACACGUUCGUGGUCGUGUUUCCUGAACAAGAUGUUCGAAAUUUCUUGUCAUUUCAUGGGUCAGGUCUCAAAUUGGGCCGAAUAACAUGAAUAUCAUUUUUCUACUCAUUUUGUUCCAUAAUUUCAAUCAAUUGCAGUUCAAAUUUGACUUAUACCAAAAAUUUCCUUGAAAUGCAAUUAAUUAAAUAAAUAUAGCAAAUAAAUCCAAAAAUAUACCAAAUUUUAACAUGGAGUACCACAUGUUGUAUGUGGGGAGUAGAAAAAAUUUCAUGGUGAAAAGAGGAAAAAAAUUAUUUUUUUGCCGAGUGUCAAAAAAAACACUAGGCAAACCCCCCCUAUUUGCCGAGUGUUUUUUUGACACUCGGCAAACCCCUCUCUUUGCCGAGUGUUUUUUUUGACACUCGGCAAAGAGGGGGGUUUGCCGAGUGUCAAAAAUAUACUCCGCAUAAAGCGGGGUUUGCCUAAUGUUUUAUUAAAAACUCGGCAAAAAAUAGAUUUUGACCUGGCCGGGGAGUUUUUAUUUGCCACUCGGCAAAGCCCCAAUUUCCCGAGUGUAUUUUUUUUCCCGAGUGUUUUUGAGCUUGGCACUCGACAAAGAGCUUGUUUGCCGAGUGCUCGCAAAAAAACACUCGGCAAAAAAAAUACACUCGGCAAUUUUUAGCUUUCCCGUAGUGAGGGAUUCCUUGCUGCGUGUACACACAACACAAGACCACCAGUUCACGCAGUCACCAUUGCCAUUAGCGCCGUCCUUUGCGACGUGAACGCAAGACAGGGUGAUCAUGACUCAUAAGGAGGGUCAGGGUCACGGAUGUUAGUUGUAGACUUACCCACCACGUUGACGACGAAGAAUCCUUUUAAUUAUUCCAGGGUGGCAACUGGCAAAGCCCGACGAGGCUUACUAAAGCAUCCGUGUGUAUACCAUCAGUUAAUCUCAUUUCUCAAUUUCCUUCAGGUCACAUGACGUUGGCACCCGGUAAAAUGAAACACUGAUGCAUCGUGAAAAGAGCUCAUGGUUCCGGAAUGAGCAGUUUGUUGGAUGACUUGCACUGCUUACAAGAGUGUUAUGAAUAAACACUCCCAUGCCUUGGAUGCCAUUCAAAAUGUUACCAAACAUAUGUAGAGUAACCUGCGUUUCUCUUUCAAGCAGCUAUUUAUGAAGUAUUGGAGGAAACCAAAUUACAUGCUUUCACUUGUGUAGCUGAAUGCAUCCAUGACAAUUCGACGAGUCAUAUUAGCAUAUUCUUCCUUACUUCCUUACUCUGCCCUAUUGAAAUAUUUCUCUCACAGUCUGCUAAAAAAUUAGGGCCAACAAACACUUCUAUAUAAGAUGGCGCGAGCCAUAACAGUUGGUGUGGUAACUGUAUCAAAGCUUGCACUAAACGCUGGAAUUUGGCCCAUGGUGCUAAUAGUAUACAUGAUCGUGACGGGUACGGAUGGUCAUGAUGUAUUUGAGAAAAGAGCGUCUGGUUCUUGCUGACUUCGAUCGAUGGCAUGAUCAAUGACAUGAUCAAGUUUGCUACCUAGCUGGAUCUGGAUAAGAGCACAUGUGUAAUGUGGUGGUGCGGCACCAAAGUGUGGUGCUCGUUGUCAACCAAGCCAUCAAUCAUGGUUUUUUUAAAAAAAAAUGUCGGAUACAAGAACUUUUGUAUCUGUCUGACCUUGUUCAUCUUCACUAGACAUCACAACCAGCUACACAUGCAAACUAGAUAAUGCAAUCUUCUAUAUUAUUACUAAUCAGACUCAUUUUGGAGCCUCCAUGUCAACACUCAUGAGAUGCGCUAGAAAAAAAAAGAUAAAUCCUUGAAAUUCACAUAAAAAUAAAAUAUAAAAUAUGAUCACGUUUAUACAUAUAUAGUGGCAUAAGUUUAGCCACUUCUUAGUUUUCUUCGCUUCAUGUCUCACACGACAUUGCUGGCACCAAGCAAACAGAACACUGAUGACUAAUAGAUGAACAUUGUAAAGUGAACUCACGAUCCGGAGUGCACUCAUGAUAGAUGAAGGAUGCAUGAACAGUUAUUGGACGACUUGCAGCAACGGUUACAUGCUUGCAAGCUAGAUAAAUACCAAAGACUGUCAUAUAUACUCUCAUUCCUUUGCUGCCGUUCAAAUGUUACACGGUAGUAUAGUAUUAAGAGAAACUUGUGUGCAGGAUCUUUUUUUUUUGCAACUUGUAAGAACUAAGAACUAUGAACUUUGUUUGAUCUGAUCUUUGGUCAACCAUCACCUUUGGUCUGAACUUUUUUACCGGCGGCAGCACAAACUUGGGAGGGACUCUGCGGCGGAGCAUCAACCAUCACCUUUGAUCUGAUCUUCAGAGUUCAGUCAUAUAUAUAGUUCAGUUAACUUAAUGGUUAUGAGUCUGAAGGAAAACCGCAAUUAUUUUACAUUUUGAUAUCGCCAAACUCCUGCCAAAUGCCUAAUCCCUUUCAAAUGAUGAUAAAUAUUUUCAUUUCAGGGCGGCAAAAUCUGAAGAGGCUCACUGUAUAUUGUACAUUAGUGCUACUAUCAGUUCAGCACCUUCUUCAUUUCCUUGAGGUCACACCACAUUAGUACCAGCAAUCAAAACACUUACGCAUCGUCAGAUCAACUCAUGGCUGGUGAAUGAUCCAUGAACAAUUGUUGGAUGACUUUGCAUCAACGGAUGCAUGCUUAUAUUACAAGCCAGAACCAUGCUCAAGACUGUCAUACUAUCAUAUAUAUACUCCUGUGGCUUGGAUGCCAUUCAAAAAUGCUGCAAGAGGUAGAGCAACUUGUAGUUCUCUGUCGAGGUGUAAACGAGCUGUGUAUAUUGGGAGGGACCUCUGAAAUAUUGGGUUGACUACCGGAAACAGGAAAGUUACCGAGUGUAAAAUCUUUACCGAGUACUUUUUGUCGGGCACUUGGCAAACACCUCGUUUGCCGAGUGUAUAGGCGCGGACACUCGGCAUACACAAUGCACUCGGCAAACAACAGAUUUGCUGAGUGUCGUGGAAAACACACUUGGCAAAAAUCCAACCGACACUCGGCAACAAUUUGACACUCGGUAACUCUCCAGCACGUGGAUCGCACGUGCGCCGUCCGUUAGGGCAGUGUGCUGGCCAUUAGUACUUUGCGGAAUGUCCGUUACCGACACUCGGCAAAGUUAGAGGUUGCCGAGUGCUUCCUCUAGACACUCAGCAAACUUAGAGUUUUGCCGAGUGUUUUCCACCGCCACUUGGCAAACAUAGAGUUUUGCCGAGUGUUUCUGUUGGCACUCGGCAAAGACAAAACUUUCUUUUUCACAUCUGCCCUCCACACUUUUUCUACUCCUCGCAUACGACAUUUGGUACUGCAUGUUAAAAGUUGGUCUAUUUUUUGGUUUGUUUGCUAUUUUUAAUGAAUUAAUAUCAAUAAUAGGAAUUUGUUGAUUUAAGUCAAAUUUAACUGCAAGUGAUUGAAAUAAUGGAAUAAAAUUAGUGAAAAAAUCAUAUUCAUGUUAUUGAAUCCGGAUUGAGGUCUCAAUCAGGAAAUGAAAAGAAAUUUUGAACAUUUAUUUUAGAAAACAUUACCACGAACGUGUGGUUGAAUGGUUUUUAAAUUCUAAAAAAAGCAAACGAAGUGUGAAAAUUACAAGAUUUGUCAAGAUGAAGCUACUCCUGUGAGUCACUUUUCAACCAUACAAUCAAUUUAUAAUUAAACUAGAAAGUACGGGUACUAGAAACUUAUAAUAGAAAAGUGACUAAUGCAAUCUCUUUAACUUUGUGCAGAAUCAAUCGGCAGCAUCCAAUGCUUUCUUGGAGCCAUCAUCUUGGUCGCAGUGGUCACCUACACAUCCUCCUCAGUGACUUGUUUGAACGGCUAGUGUGUUAAGCAAACUUGUGAAUUACUUGUUUAGACUAGAACCUAUAUGUACUUGUGAAUGUUAUUUGUGUGCUUGUGAUGCUUGUGAUGCAAUCUAUAUGCCUGUGAUGCAAUUUAUAUGCAUGUGAUGCUUCUGUGGUUGUUAUUUGAGAGGGGUCCUUUAUAUGUAACGAAUCUGUUUUGCAGGUAGAGGAAGGACACUUUGCCGAGUGUUAACACUCGGCAAAGAGGUCAAUUUCUAUUAUUCUGGGACUACUUUGCCGAGUGUUUUUGUUACAACACUCGACAAGGCGCCAUAAAAUGCUGGCGGUAGCAGCUUCUUUGCCGAGUGCCUUGCCAACGACACUCGGCAAAGUUUAAAAGUUUGCCGAGUGUCAUGAGUACGGCACUCGGCAAAAUAUAAAUCUUCGCCGAGUGUCGAGUAGACAGCACUUGGCAACAUGGAAAUAUUCGUCGAGUGUCGGGGAGGAGGCACUCAGCAAAAUAUAAAUCUUUGCCGAGUGUUCUUCCGUCUGACACUCAGCAACAACUCCGUUACCGUGACAUUCCGUGAACACCUUUUUGCCGAGUGUUUGGUUUUGUCGAGUGUUUUUUGGCACUCGGCAAAGUCUUUGCCAAGUGCCUGACGUUUGACACUCGGUAAAGAUACUGUUUGCCGAGGAAAAAUUCGCCGAGUCCUUUUCGCCGAGUGUUACACUCGGCAAACGCUUUGCCGAGUGUUUUUAGGCUUUCGCCGAGUGCGUAGGGCACUCGGUAAACUUACUGUUUCCGUAGUGGUUAUUGGAGGUAACCAAAAUAUCAUCCUCAGCUUUGACCUGUGUGGCUUAGUUCAUUCUAGGUAACUCAGCGGGCGACGUGGGCAUAUGGCUGUGGUAUCUGGUACUUCCGCUUGUUCGGCCGUUUUAAUGGAUUCACGAUAAGUUAUCUUCUCAUGGUCUUUGUCGAGUACAACUGAUGUAAAACGUCUGACACAGUGUAUUGAAGCGGUCGAUCCUCUCUCAUUCUGAUUGAACUCUUGGAGAUAGCAUACCAGUAGCAAAAAUUCCUUCUUUUUCAAAUUGAACAGCAAAAACAAAAAUGAUACUGUGACAGAUAAAGGACUUUGCAGGAACAGAGAUAUCAUCUGUCGUUCAGUCGUGGAACCGACUCAUGAUAGAUAAAGGACAUUGCAGGAACAGAGAGGGACAGAGCCCGUCUCUGCUAACACUUGCCAACCUCUGUGCUUUGCGCUGGUCUUCUCUAGUUUAGCCAAUCUUUUUUUUUUUUGCCUGAUGCAAAACUGACUAAACUCUCGGUGAAAGAAAAAUUAAGGACUUCCACGAAGCAGGACUCUCUGGGCCUAGCACAGGCCUAAACACCAAGCUGCUGAGCCCAAAUUUAUUCCGCCAAUGUCUCCAUGAUGUGCUUCCUGGUUAGGGGUCAAGAACUGUCCUUUAUGACUUGAUCCGAUGCCUCGAUGGUGUGGUUAGCGACUUUUGCCUGACAGACUGAACUAUGUAUGAAGAGACUACAUUUUCUUUCUUUUUAAAAAUAAAAAGCUGGACUUCACAGGUGGCUUGGUUGUUGUGCCUGCGCGUAUUCCUUCGCUAGGCACCGAAUUUGCUUGCAUUCAUAGAGCUUUCACUUGUGUAGCUGAAUGCAUCCACAACGACUCGGCGAGGCAUGUGGGCAUAUUGUUCUUUACUUUUGCCUAUUCAAUCAUUUCUCUCACGAUCCACUACAAAAAUCAGAGUCAACAAGAUCGCAUGAGUGAUAAUAGCGGACAUGGUUGCUCUAUCAUAGAUUGCACUAAACACUGGAAUACGUCAUAUCUUACUAUUACUAAUUGGAGGCUCCUUUUGAAGCCUCCAGGUGAAGCCACCUAGGAUUCCUAGGUGGACACCCUAGAAAUCCUAAAAAUUCUCACAAAAAAGCAAAACAUCCAACCAUCAAUUGAUAUAUUCAAAUCAUCACAGCCAUUGGAUCUAUUAUGUUUUUAAAAAAAUUACCCACCUAUGCCAUUAUGAAAAUAGCCUAAAGUAACCCCCUAAAUCUAUAUAUAAAUUACCCACCUCUACCAUUAUAUAAAAUAAACUAAAGUAACCCCUUAAUCUUCAUCGAAAUUACCCACUUAUGACAUUAUAAAUAAUAUUUAAAAUAACUCCCUAAUUUGCAACUGAAUUGCCUACCACUAUUACUUAAAGUAACCCAUUAAAUUUGCAUCUAUAUUACCCACACAUGCCAUUAUUAAAAAUAGCAUGAGGUAACCCUACGUUUUAAUCAAAUAACCUUAAUUAAAAAUAUACAACAAUAUAUGAUUCUAAAUCGUCUAUAUCUUACACUAUUGGUAUACGAUAUAAUAAUUAAGGUCUUUACGUAUGAUGUGUGUCACCAUUUAUAAGGAUAUAAAGUGAUGAGAAUAUAAAUUUCUAUGCUAAAAUUGUAUCUCAAAAUUAGGGUUCAUUAAACAAAUUCUAGCGCAUAUCUGCGAUGCAAAGUGAAAAGUUAAAGAUUAUAAAUGUGGAUGAAAAUAUUAUAGAGUAAUUACUAACUAAAACCUAUCAUAAUUAGAUGAAGAUAUUAAGUAUAUAUCUACGUAAGUAUUAUGUUUGAAUAUGUAAGAAACGAGAGGUAGCUUAUGGUAAUAGUUUUGUAGCAAUGUAGUCUUAUUUUGUUCCAUUGGAGACUCUGCAUUAGUUCCCACGAGACAAGCUAGAAAAAAGAGAUCUAUUAUAUUUUAUAACCACGAGACAAGCUAGAAAAAAAGAGACAAAUUCUUAUAAAAAUUAAAAAACAUCAAACACCAAUUCUGUAAACUAUAAUAAUCAUAGCCAUUGAUCUAUUAUAUUUUCUAAAAAGUUACCCGACACUAUCAUUGUGAAAAUAUUCAAAAAUGAGCUCUAAACCUAUAUCUAAAUUAUCGAGCUCAGCUAUUAUAAAAAAUAAUCUAAAGUAACCCCAUAAUAUUCAUCCAAUUUGGUAAUACACAUCAUUAUAAAUCAUAACUUAAAAUGUCAUUCAAAAAUUUUAUUUAUGGUACCCACGAAUGUCGUUAUUAAAAAUAACCUAAAGUAAACACCUAAAUCUUAAUCUAAUUAUGUUCAUGUGCAUCAUACAGAAAUGUCAAAAAGUAAACUAAUAUAUGAUUCUAAAUUACCUAUUUAUGUCAUUGUUAAUAUAAAAAUACUAAGUUAAAGUAUAUACACAUGAUGAGUGCCACCAUUUGGACCAUUUAUGCAAGUAUGUGAGGAAUCAAUGAAAAAUAUUGAUUUGUAUGCUAAACAUAAUGUAUGGAGGAUUGGAGGUGUGAUACAAAAUAGAAAAAGUAUGAAUAUGGAUGAAAAAGUGCAUAGAGUAAUUAUUAAUUCAAAAUCAAUCACAACUGGAUAAAGAUAGGUAUAUAUCUAUAUAAGUAUUAUGUUGAAUUAUUGAAAAAUAAGAGAGCAGUAAUUAAACAAUUUGGAUUGUUAGCUAGAGUUUAAUUUCUAAAUAAUUUUUAAGUACAAUAGCUUUUAAAAAUAUUAGCCCGGGAGCACGGGUUGAUGGACUAGUGGUGCUAAUAGUAUACGUGUUUGUAACUGAUAUGGAUAGACAUGAUGUAUUAUUUGUUAAAAGAUCCUCUGGUUCUUGAAUAGUUGAUCAAUUACAUGAGUUUGCUACCUGGAUGUGGAUGACAACACAAGUGUAGUGUGGUGUCUAACUGUGGUGCUAGCAUGACAUGAUCAUGGUAGAUGAAUGAUCCAUGAAUAAUUGUUGCAUGACUUCCAUCAAUGAUCAAUGGAUGCAUGCAUAAAGCAACAAUACCAAAGACUAUCACACUAUCAUUUACCAUUCAAAAUGUUUCAAGAGGUAGACUUGUAGAACAACCUGUGUAUCUUGCUGUCAAGAUGUACUCUAAAGUAUUCAGCGACCAGCAAGCAUUGAGUUUGGUGGUUGUACCAGUAGGUGAGCGGUGGUGCAUUAUUACCUUCACCGUCCGCUUCCACAGAGCAUUGAGCUGGGUGGCUGCAGCAGCGACUUCGAAUCAAGGGAGCUUGGUCCGGCGACGAGCGGCGGGGAGCCUGCACCGGCGGCGACAAGGCUCCAUUGCGACCAGUACGUCCUUGCUCACGCAUUCUCGUUCUUUACAGCUACUAGGCCAGGAUCUUUUCUAGUAUUAAACUAGCCUAAGCAAGAAUACGUCUUCAACUCGAUUCGCAAGCCUGUGCACACACAUACAUGCAUCUCACUUUCUUGCGCUCAUCCAGGAGUGCUCAUCGGAGAAAUGGAGGUCAUGGCUGGGGCACUGCCAUGCGUCAUAAAAAAACUCGGUGAUAACUACUCACCGACAAGUUUAUACUACUCAAUUAACGUAUCCCAACUAAACUUUCUCCUAAACGAAGCAUUAAUUGGGUUAGUAAGCUGGCGAGAGCCGCUACGCGUCAUUCCACAUGCGAGCGGGCCCCACCAUGUGCGUCUCGUCCUCCACCUCUCACGCACCCUCUUCAACUGUCGGUGGAGCACCCUCUUCAACCUUCCCCCCGGGCAUCUGCAUCCCAUCGACCUCUGCUUCGUGCUCUUCAAUCUUCAAUCUUCUUCAUGCCCAUCCAUUCCCAAUAGGCAAUAGCUACAACCUACAAAAAGGCAGGGCGAGCACCCGCAUCCGAAGGAGCCCAAGCGGCCAUCCACAAAGAGGUAAAGAAGAUAUAUUAAUAUGAUUUCUGUCGUUAGCUUCUCUCCAAUUAACCUUACACAUUGGUCUUCCCCAGGGACAAAUCCAUGGAGAUCGUGACCGGGGCAAUUCCAAGCCUCCUGCACAAGCUCGGUGAGUUGCUAGUUGGCGAGUACAAUCUGCAAAAGGAGGUGAAGGGAGGGAUCAUCUUCCUUCAAGCUGAGCUCGAGAGCAUGCAAGGUGCCCUCGAGAAGAUCUCGAUGACACCAGCAGACAAGAUUGACGACCAGGACAAGAUCUGGGCUAGGAGAGUGAGAGAGAUGUCCUACGAUAUAGAGGACAAUAUUGACAAAUAUAUCGUGCAGUGCAAGGGGAGGAAGACGGCCGAACAGCAUAGCUUCAAGGAAGCCAUUGAUAGGACCCUCAACUGGUUCAGGCAGCCUAAGAUUCGUCGUAAGAUUGCUACAGAAAUCAGAGAGAUCAAGAGCCGUGUCAUAGAGGUGCAUGAACGGCGCCGCAGGUAUGAGGUCAGCCUUGGUGUUGAUAAGCCUGUAACUGUGGACCCUCGUUUAUUCGCUCAGUACACGGAGGUGAAAGAGCUUGUUGGAAUUGAUGAGGCAAGGGAUGAGUUAAUCAGCAAGAUUAUGAUAGAAGAGAAUGAAGUUCCCAAGAAGCAAGGCAGGAUAGUUUCAAUUGUUGGAUUUGGAGGUCUGGGAAAGACAACUCUUGCCAAUGUAGUGUACAAAAAGAUUAGAGCACAAUUUGAUUGCUAUGCUUUUGUUUCUGUUUCUCAAACUCCUGACCUGAAGAAACUGUACAAAUGCUUGCUAUAUGAUCUUGGCAAGAGCAUCAACGAAGAAACAUUGGAUGAGAGGCGACUCAUAGAAGCACUCAGAGAAUUCCUUGAAGACAAAAGGUACGAAAGCAUUCCUUUCACCAAUUUAUACAUAUGAACUUUUUUGGACUGAUAAUUUAUGCCCUCUGUUCACAGUACUAUAAGUCUAAAUAGGGUUAAUUAAAUGUUCAUGCACGUGGCACCUAUUAAAUUACAAAAUACAACCACUUAAGCUUUACCACAACAUUAUUAAGUGCAAAUAAUUUCCUCACUGGACCUCGUUUUGUUUUGACAAAAUUCUGAGUGGACUUAUUUUAUCCACAGACUUGCCAAUCCAGCUGCUCCCGAGCUAUUUUAAUUUAAUCAUUAAACCAUUAGCAGUGGUCUAGUUUGCUUAAUUUUCUUGUAGCCGGUAUAUGAACAACAUUAGAGCUUUCUUCAGUCCUUAAACCACUAUUUUUGCUAAUAACGGCAUAUGUGUAGGUAUUUUGUUGUUGUUGAUGACGUAUGGGAUAUAUCAGUUUGGAAAAUGAUUAGAUGUGCUUUGCCUGAUAAUGAUGUUGGAUAUACUAUUAUUACAACAACCCGUAUUUCUGAUGUUGCUGAACAAGCUGGGGGUGCUUACAACAUGAAACCUCUUUGUUUGAAUAACUCCCGACAACUAUUGUAUAGAAGAAUAUUUGGUAAUGGGAACAAAGACAACAAUGAAGAAGAAGAAAAAUGUCCUCAUGAGGAGCUGGCCGAAGUAUCUG